rnacentral:rRNA from 1 species
AUUGAACGCUAGCGGGAUGCUUUACACAUGCAAGUCGAACGAGUGGCGGACGGGUGAGUAAUGUAUCGGAACGUGCCCAGUAGCGGGGGCUAACUACUCGAAAGAGUGGCUAAUACCGCAUAAUUGUGGAGCGGCCGAUAUCGGAUUAGCUAGUUGGGGGGGUAAAGGCCCACCAAGGCAACGAUCCGUAGCUGGUUUGAGAGGACGACCAGCCGCACUGCGACGGAGACACGGCCCAGAUUCCUACGGGAGGCAGCAGUGGGGAAUUUUGGACAAUGGGUGAAAGCCUGAUACAACCAUCCCGCGUGUAUGAGAAGGCCUUCGGGUUGUAAAGUACUUUUGGCAGGGAAGCGGUAUCUGCAGAAUAAGCACCGGCUAACUACGUGCCAGCAGCCGCGGUAAUAC